UUUUAAACUAGGAAUUGGUCUGUGUGCAAGGUGAUACAUAAAAGUAAAAAAUAAAUCAGCUUUGUCUCAAAUGGUAGGACUUGAUAGGCUGUCUUUUCCAUAUAAAUCUGCCCAUUCUCAGUGUCUGCUCCAGCUAUCCCCACCCUUAAGAUUAUAGAUGACUGCCUUUCCCAGAGAGGUCCAAUUGGCAUCACUACUUUUUAUUCUUCCUGGCCUUUCUAGGAAUGCUGCUGAAUCCUUCACUUUACUGCUGGUUGUUUACAUUUGUUGUUUGCUGGAUUUUAAUUGUUCUGGGUUGGAUUCAGAAUACAUGACUGCACAUCAUACUGAAAUCAAUGGGACUUACUUCUUAGGACACAUGCAUAGGCUUCAACUGUUAGUCUGGAGCCAGCCCAUCUUAUUCAGCUUUUUAAAGCAUAACCCUGUGUAUAUUUACUCAGAAGAAAAGCUCCUUUAGUUUCCUGGGGCUUAUUCCCAGGAGACUGGACAUACGUUCAUGGAGUUAAUGGUUCUUAUUAAUGAAAAUACCUUCCUUGGAAAUGCAGGCAGGAAUAUUUUAAAUGAAUAAGCUAAAGGAGAGCUAUGGUAGAGCCAUUUCUUAGGCACAUUACCAAUUUAAUCUUUGCCCAGUUUGUUCAAGUUCAUGUACUUGUGAUUAUUCAAACAGGUGUGGAUUUUUAAAUGCUAAAAUCUUGAUACAGGCAGAUGUGAAGCAUAAGAACAGAAGAAAUAUAAGAACAUAGGAAGUGCCUAUUUGAUCAGGCCAAUGGCCCAUCUAGUUCAGCAUCCUGUUAUCACAGUGGCCAACCAGAUCCUGGUAGGAAACCAAAAGGCAUGGUCUGAGCACAAGAGAACUCUUUCCUGGCCCCAGUGGUCUCCAGCAACUGAUACCUAAGAAGCAUUGCUGCUUCUGAUUGUAUAGGUAAAGCAGAGCCAUCACGGCCAAUAGCCAUUGAAGGCCUUCUCUUCCAUGAAAGGAAGCAUAGGUGUCAGUUAUGUCAAAUGAAAUCCAGAUUUUUCUGGGAUGUGAGGGGAAGGGAAAGCUUGCUAUUGUAACUACCUUAAAUGAAUUUCAAUACCAGGAAGUUAAAAUUUAUGCUGAAACUCAGAAUUCUAACUCUGAAAACUUGAAGCCUCAAAAUACCGUAACACACACACACACCUCCAUUGUUUUGUGGAGUUUUGCGCAGCAGUGAUUUGAAUUUCAAAUAUAUUGUAAAAGAUUUGUGUCAAGUCUAAUUCUUGGAAACUCUGUAUUGAGCUUUUCUGAGCUGUGUAGUUUGAAACUAACAUUGCUUCGCUCCCAAAUGUUGGUUGGCUAAUUUGUAUUUUGAAAUCAUUACCUCCAAAAAGCAGGGCCCCUCAGCCUAAUAAAGAAUUGUGUUAAAAGUUGCUAAGCAACUUAAAAGGACGUUUGCUUUCAAGAAGCUCACUUGUUUGUUUAAAUCCUGAUUAUGUUGCAUAUUAUUAGCUGCAUUACAUAAAUCAACAAAGGAAUCUAUAUUGGCAAGGGAAGAGGACAUUCCUACCCUUGGCCUUUUUGCAUUAUGCAAUUAAAAUCACUUGAAUUGCAUGUUGAAGUUUCAACAAAUAUUCAACAAACAUUAUUUAUCUCGAAAAAUUCUCCAGAUUAUUAAGUACAUAAAAGCACCAGAGGGGAGAAAUAAUUAAGCAGGUUUGUCAUAUAGUAUGUGUUUAUUUUAACCUUUCUUUUAAAAAAAUCUUAUCUACUAAGUACUUUUACAAGACACUAAUUAUAUUCUUUCUGAAAAGAAUUCUCCAACACCCUUCAGUGCUUACACCCUUUAAUCAUAUCUCAUUACAUCUACCUAAUCCAUCUUUUUUCACAUUGCCAGUGCUCAUUAACAGUUUUAAAAGCCAGUCCUGGACAUUAUCAUCCUUGAUUUCAGAAUCACAACUGGUACCAAUAAUAUUUUAUGCUUAAAAAAGAAAAUAAGAGAUGAUUCUGGUUUGGAGAUCACUUUCCCCUUUCCCUCCUUCUUUUCUGCUUUCCCUUUUUUUGUAUCUAUUAAACAAGAUGCUGUGAGUGAUAAUACAAGAGAACUGUGUAGCGUUCUUUCCCCCAAGAAGAAGUUAAUUUUAUAAGCUGCUUCGAUGGUGGAUCAACAAUUCCUUUGAAGGAUCCUGUGAGAAUCAUUGCUAAGAAAGGAAAGCAAGAGGGAGAAAGAGAGAGAAAGAGAGAGACCAAGCAACCAAUUCUGGAACGUGAAGGGAACACACAGGCUGAAUCUCAUCUGCAAGCAAUGAAGCAAUGAUCUGUGAGCCCUGGAAAUAAAAACUAAAUCUGUGGAGGGACAGAAGAUUUCAGCUCAGCUUUUUUUUAUUGUGAACUGUGAGAUCAUGUCUAUUUGUGGAUCUUUGUCUUCCAUAACUGACAAUGGGAGUUGUAUGAUGAUCCCUUGAACGAGGUCCCUGAAUACUAUUCUGUUCCAGUCUUUACUUCAGAUCAGUUUUUUCUCUCCAAGAUUAUGGACUAUUAAUAGUUUGCACAUAUGGGAAGCAUCAUUUAGUGAAUGGAGUCUUAUGAGGUGGGGUUCUGCCUCACACUUCCUACACUCCUGACAGGCAUGCAAGCAAAUCUUUACAUCCUGGAUAUGUUGCUAUCAAAAUCAAGAGAACCAUCUAGAGAAACAUAAAAUUGCCUUUAAUGAGGCUAAUGGGAUGACUUGGGAAAUGAAAACUAUUCUCAGCUCUUCUGUGCUCUUCAUUUGUUUCAUUUCAUUUCAGAUUGCUGCAAAUCAUUAAGGGGUGUUUGUAAAAAGUAACCAGGCUAAGUGAUUUAGUUAUGAUACUUAGUGGAGCUUCAUGAAAUCAGAUGAGUUUCUUUCCAAUUUACCAGAGUGUUUGCUAUUGCCUUGUGAAAACAGAUGGAGUUAGUGGGCCUUCACAACCGAUUUGUCUGAAUCCUGAACUGAAUCAGGCUGUAUUGUCCCCAUUUUUCUUCAUUUUGUACUGAAUCUGGAUCAGGUUGAGGUAGUUACAAAUCACCACAGAGUCGAAACUAUUUGUAGUGAUUUGAGCUGAUCUGGAGCUCAGCCACGAUGCACAGCCUAACAAUCACCAGGGGGUUAUUGUCAAGAUAAAAUGGGAGGGGAUACAAAGACUCUCCUGAACUACAUGAAGGAAUGGUAGGCUGAAAGAAGACUUAGAAAUAAAUAAAAAUUAUAGAAAGAUAACUCUCCCUAGUUAUGCAGGUGCAUGGUUUGGGGGUGCACCUGGAUUGGGAAGUGACAUAGCUCAGUGGUUAGAGCAGUUGCAUUGCAUACUGAAGGUCCCAGGUUCAGUCGACAGCAUUUCCAGGUAGGAAUGGGAGAGACCUGUGUCAGAAAUUCUGGACAGCUCCAGCCAGUCAAUGUAGACAAUGCUGAGCUAAAUGGACCAUUAGUCUGACUUGGUGUAAGGCAGCUUCCUAUCUUCCUAUCCAGUUCUACCACUAUUGUGAAGAUAGUUAUGGUGUUCCUAGACUGGGUUAGCUUGACCUCAGUUGUCCAUGCACUGGUAACCUCCAAGACGGAUUACUGCUAUGCACUCUAUGUGGGGCUACCCUUGUGUUAGUGUAUUGCAGUAAUCCACUGUCAAAGCUGGCCCACAGGGUGUAUGGGGGGGGGGAGGGGGAAAUAAAGAUUUAGUUCACUGGAUCAAAAAUAUUCCCCACCCUUGCCUUAUAUACUUUCUAGAUCACCGCAGUUUGCAGCAGAGCUUCUCCUUCAAGUUCCAAAGAUAUCAGAAACUCACUCUAUGGUAACUCAGAGCAGCGCUUUCUUUCAGUGUGGCUGCUCCUGUUCUGUUGAAUGGUAUUUCUGUUGAGAUACAACAGGCUACGACUAUUUCUCAUUUCUAGAAACGAUUGAAGAUAUUUUUGUUCAGUCAAGCUUCUUCAGUUGGAUUAAUAGGUUUCUGUCAUGGGUGUGUAUUGUUUACAAAUUCAUUUUCUGUUUUUGUGUGUGCUGUUUAUAACUGUUUUAUGAGCAGUUUUUGUUACAUUUUGUACAUCACAUCGGGAUAUAUCUGGAAGGCGAUGAAUAAAUAACAGUAACAAUCAUUUAUUUGGAGGAUAUCGAGAAAGCCCAUUGGAAGGUCUUUAAAGCAGCUGCCCAAAGAUUGCUAGUGAAUUAAGUCUCCAUCCAUGAAAUACUGACAUUCAACAAGAGCUUAGAGAUCUAGUUUGACCUCUCUUAGAUCUGAGAGUAUUACAUUGUUAUGUUCCUUUUUUAAAAUGGUGCAUGCACCCACCAUUUUCUAGGUGUAGAAAAAUAUACUUUUUAGAGUAUAAUGAGGCCAUAUCAAGGUUUUCCAUUCUAAAGGUAAUGUGUUUUUUCCCCUUUAAGACAACAUACUUUACCAUUUUUAACUUUUCUCAUCAUAUUUUUGACAGCAGGUUUUCCAAUUUUGACAGGUUUUUAAAAGUAAUUUUAACAGAUGAGUGAUUUCUCCUCCAGCAAAGUCAGAUUAUGUGAAAUGUCAAUGUAAAAACCAUAUACUGUGACACAUAAUCAUUUUUAGCUGAAUUUACUUAUUAAUUUUACUUGCUGUAGCUAAUAAACCCUAAGUGCUUGGCUAAUUGUAUUGCUUAUUUAAAUAUUUUAAAGGGUGUAUUUUAAAAUUGCA